GACGAACGCUGGCGGCGUGCCUAAUACAUGCAAGUCGAACGAACCGCGACUAAGUGCUUGCACUAAGUCAAGGUGAGUGGCGAACGGGUGAGUAACACGUGGGUAACCUACCUCAUAGUGGGGGAUAACAGUCGGAAACGACUGCUAAUACCGCAUAGGACAUAGGAUCACAUGAUCCAGUGAGGAAAGGUGGCGCAAGCUAUCGCUAAGAGAUGGACCCGCGGUGCAUUAGCUAGUUGGUAGGGUAAAGGCCUACCAAGGCGAUGAUGCAUAGCCGACCUGAGAGGGUGAUCGGCCACAUUGGGACUGAGACACGGCCCAAACUCCUACGGGAGGCAGCAGUAGGGAAUCUUCCGCAAUGGACGCAAGUCUGACGGAGCAACGCCGCGUGAGUGAAGAAGGUCUUCGGAUCGUAAAGCUCUGUUGUUAGAGAAGAACAGCGCAUAGAGUGACUGCUAUGCGUGUGACGGUAUCUAACCAGAAAGCCACGGCUAACUACGUG
rnacentral:rRNA from 1 species